rnacentral:rRNA from 1 species
GACGAACGCUGGCGGCGUGCUUAACACAUGCAAGUCGAACGGCAAGGCCCUGCUUUUGUGGUGUUCUCGAGUGGCGAACGCGGGAGUAACACGUGAGUAACCUGCUCUUCAUUUUGGGAUAACUUCAGGAAACGGGGCCUACUCCAGUAUAGGAGCUCCCCUUGCAUGGAGGGGGGUGGAACGUUUCGGCGGGUGGGGAUGGACGCGCGGCUUAACAGCUUGUUGGUGGGGGAGUGGCUUACCAAGCCUUUGACGGAUCGCCGGCAUGAGAGGGUGACCGGCGACCAUAGGACUGCGAGACGGACCAGACUGCUACGUGAGACAGCGGUCGGAAGUCUUGCCCAAUGGGACGAAGCCGGAGGAAGAGGCGCCGCGUGCGGAAUGACGGCCUGCGGGUUGUAAACCGCUUUCGCCUGUGACGACGCGUGAGUGACGGUAAUCGAUAAAGAAGCACCGGCUAACUACGUG